rnacentral:rRNA from 1 species
UACGUAGGGGGCGAGCGUUUGUCCGGAUUCAUUGGGCGUAAAGCGCUUUAAGGCGGUUCGGUAAGUCGGGUGUGAAACCUCCAGGCUCAACCUGGAGACGCCACUCGAUACUGCUGUGACUAGAGUUCGGUAGGGGAUCACGGAAUUCCUGGUGGUAGCGGUGAAAUGCGCAGAUAUCAGGAGGAACACCGGUGGCGAAGGCGGUGAUCUGGGCCGACACUGACGCUGUAGAGCGAAAGCGUGGGGAGCGAACAGG